rnacentral:lncRNA from 1 species
GCAGAAAGAGCACCAGUGCCACCACCUGGAUGCAGGGAGAAUGAGGCACCACAUAGAAAAGAAAAGUCACUACCUGUCCAAGAAAUGUGAAAAGGAACCAACUAAGUUUUCUAAAUUAAAAUAAAUCUAAUCCCUGAUGCUGCAUUAUGGCCAGAAAACCAAUGAACUAGUGACAGUGAGAGAUAAAAGUGAGACAGAUAUGUGACGCGUAGUAACGUGGGGAAACAUUUUCCCUUGCAACAGGAAGAACAGAAAAUCUUACCUCCUUGAAUCUUGAGAGUCUUUACCCAUGC